GAAAGGGAGAUUCAUCGUCAGCGACGCUGGCUUCGCGUCGGUGGGCGAUGUUCCGCGGAGUCUUCGCGACUCGCGCGCGGGCACGCUACCGUGCGUCGAUGUCCGGCGCUCGUCGUCGUGCACUUCUCCCCAAGUAGAACGUCGCGACCCGCUGGGUGUCGGUCUACGGCCCGGAUGCGGUGACUGUCGCGUCGCCGGUAAAACGGCACGCGACAAACCUCCGAUCGCCCGGCCGGCUGCUCGGCGGUACGCGCAAGGUAUCAGGCCGCACUCUUUUUAAGAGAUGCGUCGAGACCGUCGCAAGCGCGCGCCACGAUACUAGGAGGUUACGGACUUUGCGCCGUCCCCUGUUCUGGCCCGCUGUUGGUUAAAGUACGGUUCACCUUCGACAGGCCUGCGAACGUCUCUCUCUUUCUCAAUCUCGGGAGAGAAGGAGACCGAUACCGGUCGGCGACGCUASNGCUUGGG
rnacentral:rRNA from 1 species